AGCGAACGCUGGCGGCAGGCUUAACACAUGCAAGUCGAACGAUGAAGCUGGAGCUUGCUCCGGUGGAUUAGUGGCGAACGGGUGAGUAACACGUGAGUAAUCUGCCCUUGACUCUGGGAUAACUGCGGGAAACUGUAGCUAAUACCGGAUACGACACCUUCGGGCAUCCGAUGGGUGUGGAAAGAAUUUCGGUCAAGGAUGAACUCGCGGCUUAUCAGCUAGUUGGUGAGGUAAUGGCUCACCAAGGCGACGACGGGUAGCCGGCCUGAGAGGGUGACCGGCCACACUGGGACUGAGACACGGCCCAGACUCCUACGGGAGGCAGCAGUGGGGAGUAUUGCACAAUGGGCGAAAGCCUGAUGCAGCAACGCCGCGUGAGGGAUGAAGGCCUUCGGGUUGUAAACCUCUUUUAGUUGGGAAGAAGCGAAAGUGACGGUACCAACAGAAAAAGCACCGGCUAACUACGUGCCAGCCGCCGCCGUAA
rnacentral:rRNA from 1 species